UGAAAAGACAGCAUCAAUGGAACCCCGAUUCGACGAGUCACCAUGGAAACGGGGAAGCGAAAGGCUGCGUUUUUGAACUGGAAGUUUUUAACGCGCUCAUAUGGAGAGUUUGAACACGUUUUUAGAAAGAAGUGCAACACCGCUGCAGCUGCAAAAGAGAGAGAGACGGCGUGGAGAACAGCCCGGAUCAAUGCAGCAUGGCUGGACAGCAGCAGGAUGGUUCCUCAGCUUCCACUGCACAGACUGACACAGUGAGAUGGAUGUUCAGGAAACACCAGAGCUUCAUUCUGUGGAAUUCAUGUGCAACUGUAUCAUUGAAUGUCCUCUAUGUAUUCCCAGUUAUCAGUAAAACAGAUUUACAAACUGUAUUUGCUGAGAAAAAUCCAAAAAACAGAUUAGGAGGGCAGAUCUGGAAAUAGAAAUACUGGAGCACAAGUUAGAGGUGGUGAUGGUCACAGGUGAAUUAUGUUAACUACUGGAACAUGAACUGAACUAUCUUUUAUUUGUAGGAAAUAAAGAAGAGCAAAUGAAA